UACGUAGGGUGCGAGCGUUAAUCGGAAUUACUGGGCGUAAAGCGUGCGCAGGCGGAUGUUUAAGUCAGAUGUGAAAUCCCCGGGCUCAACCUGGGAAUGGCAUUUGAAACUGUGCAUCUAGAGUGCGUCAGAGGGGGGUGGAAUUCCACGUGUAGCAGUGAAAUGCGUAGAGAUGUGGAGGAACACCGAUGGCGAAGGCGGCCGCCUGGGAUGACACUGACGCUCAUGCACGAAAGCGAGGGGAGGAAACAGGAUUAGAUACCCUGGUAGUCCACGCCCUAAACUAUGUCAACGAAUUGUUGGGGACGUAAGUUCUUAGUGACGAAGCUAACGCGUGAAGUUGACCGCCUGGGGAGUACGGCCGCAAGGUUG
rnacentral:rRNA from 1 species